UCCGUAGGUGAACCUGCGGAAGGAUCAUUAACACUAAUCCAAUCAACUCAACGCAGCCUUCAGUUGCAGGAGUGUGCAUGCUAGCCUAGGCCAAGCAGUGCCGCCUCUGCAGCAACAAACAAAUUAAUCUAAGCAAAGGAGCCUAACUAAGCUCAAUCAACCAAAAACCAAAUUCUCAACGAUGGAUAUCUUGGUUCCCAUAACGAUGAAGAACGCAGCGAAGUGCGAUAAGCAGUGCGAAUUGCAGAACCGUGAGUCAUCAGAUUUUUGAACGCAUCUGGCGCCGGCUGGGUCUCCAGCCGGCAUGCUUGUUUCAGUGUCUUGUUCUCUCCUCACCCAAAUCCUAAUGCUAGAGAUACCCUUCUCUUGCUAAACACGAAAGCACUCUGCGCUCUGCGAGCGACUUCCUGACUAGUUCAGGUGUCGCACUCAAUGCAGCCGUCGCAUUGCUUACAAUGUGAACUCAUUGAGAGCUGAGGCAGUCAGCGUCAGCUGGAAGUGCUUAGCCACUUAAACUUUCUUGCAUCUGAAAUCAAGCAGGACCACCCGCUGAACUUAAGCAUAUCACUAAGCGGAGGAAAAGAAAUUAACUAAGAUUGCCUCAGUAACGGCGAGUGAAGCGGCAAAAGCCCAAACUGGAAAUCUUCACACUGCGUGUGACGAAUUGUAAUCUAAAGAUGGUUCGCUCACCGGGCGGUGGCGCAGAAGUGGCCUAGAACGGUCCGCCAUAGAGGGUGACAGCCCCGUACGUGGUGCCACUGCCUAACGAGCUGGCUAUCAAAGAGUCGGGUUGUUUUGUAUUGCAGCCCUAAGUGGGAGAUAAACUUCUUCUAAGGCUAAAUAUAUAUGGGAAACCGAUAGCGAACAAGUACUGUGAAGGAAAGAUGAAAAGAACUUUGAAAAGAGAGUCAAAAGACUUGAAAUUGCUGAAAGGGAAACGCUUGAAGU
rnacentral:rRNA from 1 species